rnacentral:rRNA from 1 species
CAGUCGCCGCGGUAAUACGUAGGUGGCAAGCGUUGUCCGGAAUUAUUGGGCGUAAAGGGCUCGCAGGCGGUUUCUUAAGUCUGAUGUGAAAGCCCCCGGCUCAACCGGGGAGGGUCAUUGGAAACUGGGAAACUUGAGUGCAGAAGAGGAGAGUGGAAUUCCACGUGCAGCGGUGAAAUGCGUAGAGAUGUGGAGGAACACCAGUGGCGAAGGCGACUCUCUGGUCUGUAACUGACGCUGAGGAGCGAAACCGUGGGGAGCGAACAGGAUUAGAUACCCCAGUAGUCCCUGUCUCUUAUAC